GACAGAGGGUGCAAACGUUGUUCGGAAUUACUGGGCGUAAAGCGCGUGUAGGCGGCCCGGUAAGUCCGCUGUGAAAGUCCAGGGCUCAACCCUGGGAUGCCGGUGGAUACUGUCGGGCUCGAGUCCGGAAGAGGCGAGUGGAAUUCCUGGUGUAGCGGUGGAAUGCGCAGAUAUCAGGAGGAACACCAAUAGCGAAGGCAGCUCGCUGGGACGGUACUGACGCUAAGGCGCGAAAGCGUGGGGAGCGAACAGG
rnacentral:rRNA from 1 species